ACUACAAGAAAAUAGCAAAAUUGUGACAGACGAUUCUGUCACAAAUCCGUCACAAAUGAUAAUGUGUGACGGAUUUGUGACGGAAAAAUGGACGUCCCAGAACCUGGGGUCAUAAACUCAUUGUGACGGAUUUCAAUUCCGUCACACAUUUAUUGUGACGGCAUAGUGACAGACCUGACGGUGACAAUAUAAAUCCUUGUAUUUGAAUUAAAUUCCGUCACAAAUUUGAGACAGAAUUUUGGACGGAAUAUUUGGUUACAAAAUAGUGACGGAAUCGUUUCUGUAACAAAUUUCUAAAUAUAUUCACAAUAUUUGUGACGGAAUAUUUCGUUACAAGUAAAUUGUGAUGAAAUAUUUUGUCACAAAAUUGCUCUUGUAGAUAUUAGUAACAAAUUUAGAAUUAAUUGUGACAGAUUAAAUCCGUCACAAAUUUGAUUUUAAUUUAAUAAAUAAUAAUUGCUAUAUAUUGUAGUCG
rnacentral:lncRNA from 1 species